CUCAUGUGUUCCCCAUGGGGAGGGGCUUAGCACCUGCCAUCCCUGCCCCAGGGCCUCCCCCCUUGGCCACCUGUUGGCUCCGCUUCCAGAGGCCGGGCUGUAAAUUGCCCACCGAGGUCACCUCAUGGCCUUGCACUCGAGGGAACAGCUCAGGAAAGGCUCUGGGAUCAGCCAGGCAUCACUCUUCCCAGAGGCAAAGCCUCUGAGGCAGAACGUGCCCUGGCCCGGCCCCCGGCCCGUGGCGGCCUGGGAAGGCAGCCCUGACGCUGGGCCCACAGCGCUGGGCGCCGGCAGGGUGGGGCCCUCUCCCACCUGGCACCAAGGGGGCUAGCAAGGAGCCUCCAGUCCCCUGGCUGAAGAGAGAGCCCUCCCGCGUACCGGACCACCCCCCUUUCGGAGCCCACCAGGAGGGGCUGUUGCUUGGUGCCAGGCACCCAAAGCUGUGGUCAUGGCCUUCACUCGGGGACCCCUACCCCCAACAAAUGCCAGCCUGACAGUCCUCCCUCCCUCCCCUCCCACCUGCCCUAGGGGCUAUAAUCAAAGCUGCACAGGAAGGGGGAGGGUUGGCCCCAGCAGAGGCUCUGCCCCAGGGGGUGGCAGUGGCAGUCGGGGGGGCCGGGGUCUGCCUGUUUCUCAGCAGGUGAGCUGCUCCCCUACCCCUGUGGCCUGGGAGGCGUCUGUCUCCCUGACGGCUUUUAUCUGUGGCUGCAGCUUGGGGAGGGCGGGCAGGGAGGAUGCAAAAUGGCCACUCCGGCCCACCAUCUGUUGCCAGAAGCCAAAAGUCCCAAACCAACUGGCUUAAAGAAAACCAGCUGCCCCUCUGGGAGGGGUCCAGGGGAGGCAGCUCAGGCCUGAGUCAGUGCUCAGGAAGGCGGGGGCGGGGGGGGUGGUGGCUGGCUCCUGGUGAAGGGCUAGGACUCCACGAUGCACCCCCAGUGCGGCCGGCAGCGCUGUGGCACCUUGAGCUCCUGUAAGAACACAGCCCGGGAGUCUGGGGAGGGUGACGUGGCCCCCACUGUGCACGGAUUCAGUUACAAGCCUCCUGGUCGCAGCCUGAGUGGCACUGGGAAUCUGGAGCACCGGUGUCGGGGGGGGGGGGUGCCAGAGAGGCAGCACCUCCCCCAACCUAUCAAUGGUCUCCAUUGUCAGGCAGGAGCUGGCUGCCUCUCCCACUUGGAGAAAAGGCUCUUUUUUCCUUCCCAGCUACUGACGAGCAGGCAGGCGGUGGGUACUGGACAGAGAACGCUUGGUCAUCAAAGCCGGGAGAUGCCCUGGGGAGAUGCAUCCUCUGGGCUCCAAUGAUGGACUGGUGAGAUGCAGUUUGAUCAAAGGAACUUCGAGAGCGCGAGAGGAGCCUCCGCUCUCCGCAGCACAGAUGGGUACUGCCUGCCUGGCCUCAGUUCCCUGUGGGGCCUGCGUCCGCCUGGCCCGCUCCCGACCCCGCACCUAGCACCUGCUCAGUAAAGCCGCUUCCCCUAGCUUUCCUGCAGCACCAGGCAGGUGGGGCACUGGCUCCGCAGCCCUGGGCGCUCCUGCCCCGGGCCGGCUUGGCUGGUGGAAGCUGAGGCCCAGGGACAGGACCUGAGGCUGCGAGCUGACGUGGGGCCCUGAGCAGGCUGGGAGCAGAAGACACCCAGGCCAUCCUAACUAAUACACCUGGGACAUACCAGGCCCCACUCAAGCACAGAGAUGAGCACCAGCUCUUCCAGGAAGCCUUCCAGUCAUCCACCACCCCCAACACCACCUCCUCUGGACUCCUGUCCAAGACCGAGACUGUGCAAGGGCCUGGAUGCUGGUGCCCACCGCCAGCCCAUCCCUGACAGUCUCAGGCAGGUCAAGUCCAGUGCCCAGAGGAGUGAAGCACUGACACACACGAGUGAAAGAAGGCCGGAUAAGAGCCGGAGGCCACACAUGUGAUCCUAUCGUGUGAAGUGUCCAGAACAGGUAAAUCUGCAGACACAGAGCAGAUCGGUGCUCCCCAGGGGCUGGGGGAGAGGGAAUGGGGGUGCCUGUCUAACUGGUGUGGGGGUUCUAUUUGGGGUGACAGUUCUACAACCUUGUGAAUGUACCAAAUGCCCCAUUUCACUUGAAAUGUCCAUUUAAGUGUACAUUUGAAUGUACGCUUUGAAUGGAUGAAAUCAUAAAACUUAUGCUAUAGGCAAUUUACUGCCAAAAUACAUGUACGUAUUACCCACCCCCUCCAGUGUAGCCGUCGACUCCCUCAUGUUCUCAGAGAGCAGGCUGAGGUGGGGCGAGGCCUCGAGAAAGGCCACCAGAGGCCACUCUGGAAAAGGGCUUUCCUCUGCCCACCUGCGCCUCCUCUGCGUGCCUGUCAAGCCCUACCCCAUCUCCAGCAGGUGUGUCCCCAGCCCGGUAACAAGAGCACCACAGCCCAGAGCUGGCCCCAGGUGGACGGAGUCUGCUCUGCUGCAUCACGGCCAGGCCUGACUCCUGGGUGCCUCUCCCCGCACCUUGCUGCUGCCCACCGCCACCACCCAGGCUCUUGCCGGCUAAUCCCGGGGUCCUGCCAGCAUGUAGCUGGAAGGAUAUAGCACCAAGGACCACUUAAUCCAACACCCUCAAGUACUGAGGGAAAACCGAGGCUCAGAGAGGAGACAUGUGUCUGGGGGGGCACAGCACACCAGAGCCAGGCUGGUUCUGUGUCUCCUGGAUUGUCCAUGGCGGGGCAUGGGGUGGGGCCCCCAGAGACAGCCAAGCCCCAGCCCCACCAGGAACUUCAGGACCAUCAAACACAUCCUGACCCACAGUCACGAUGCCCCGAAGCCAGCCGCUCAUUAAAGCCUCUGGAAAGUUCUGGAUAUGCCUGUACAUGAAGGCAAAAGCUGAUGCAAGCUGGCCUCAGAUCCCCACCCCCUUUCCCAGCCUCUUCAACUCUCAGCCUCAGUUUUUCCCACCUGUAAACUGGGGAUAAAAAAAAAGGCAGAGCUGGCCACCACCUGGAGCGGGUGUGAGCCAGUUGGAUAAAACGUCUGCCUGGGGCUUUAUGACGCCCAAUAAAAGCAGCUGUCUGUGCGUGGAGUUAUGAUCGUUACAUUAUUGAGGAAAGCAAUCUAGACGCUCAAUCAACUCUGCAAAACCACAUCCUUUCACUAUUUAUAGAUGAGACAUGAAACAGGAAAGGUGCCCUCCCCACCCCAGGAGAGCGCAACCCCUCUGCCCAGCAGACCCCAUGUGCCAGUGACGGCCACUGCCACCCAGCAAAGUCACAGUCAGCGAGGAACAGAGCCACUCCCAGCUCUUGUGGGAACUUCAGGUGCCACCCAGCACUUGGGAGUGGAACCCUCUGGACACCCCCCUGCCACCCUAGCUUCUGGGGGGGGUCCCAGCACCCAGCCCAGGCCCAGCUCAGCUGUCCUGUUGAGAGUUUCUCCACCAGCUGUUUGCCCUGCCCCACCCUCUUCCAGCUAAGGGCACAGUUUAUCUUCUUUCUCUUUUUAAAAAACAUUACUAUUAUUUUUUUCAAUGGAAAAAAUGUUGGCUGUCAUUCAGGGCCAGGGCCAAGCCCAAGGAGGCACCUUCCUUUAAAGAAUGUGUGUUCCUUGAUGCUGUUCCACAGUCAGAGUCAGUAGGUGAGACUUCCUAGCUGACGCUGUGCGUUUAAGGUGUGUUUUUCUAACCCUGCGUCCUUGAAGCCCAGGCGCUGCGUAAACAGAGGAAGUCCUGUACCAGACCUUUGUCGCUCACAGCCUAGGGGCGAGGGUGAGGAUUAACCCGUUCCUCCCCCGGCUUCGCCCAAGACUUGCAGGUGACUCAGUGGAAACAGACGGACCAGGUGACAGAGACGCAUAACGUUCCAUCCCUCUGCAGCCAGGGCGGGCAGCAGAGCCACUUCCCACCCGACCCUCUGAACCUCCUCUUUUAAAGGGAAGUUGUAGUCCCCGCCCUGCUUCCUGGCAGAGUGGCCAGGGAGGGCCUGGGGCAGUGCGGGCAGGAUGCAGCAGUGGUUAGGAAUACAACUUUGGAGAAAGACCCAGGGCUGGACUCUACUCUGUGCUGUGUGAUCCUGGGGCCAAGCGUCGACAUCUCUGUGCUCCCCCAUUUCUGCCCUGAUCCCUGUGGUGUUACGGGGCUGCUUCGAGCCACAUGGGGCCAGGCUGCCCCACCCACUGUGCUCACCUCCACCUGACACGUCACAUGUACAUCAUGUUGCCUCUCCUGCCCUCAUACUAGAAGGUCAACUCCAUGGGGGCAGGGGCAGAAAGAAGAUAAACUGUGUCUGACCUGAUCCCACUGCACCAAAGCCUAGAGCAGAACCCAGCACACACCAGGCACUCAGAAGUGCGGGAGGACGCCAAGAGGGCUGCUGACUGGAGCCAUCAUAGGCGAUCAGAUCCUCAAAAUCGGCCAGCCCCUCCUGGGCGGCACCCCGGCUCCGGCCCACCAGGUUGCACCUUUUGGGUUCUCUGAAUUAACCCAUCAGCUAACUAAACAUUCGAGAAUGAGGAUCCUGAAACCAGCACUGUCAGCUCAAAAGGAGAAGGCAGGGAGGAAACAGACACUCACCCGGUGCCUACGGCAGGCCACUCUUAUGCAAUCCUUACGCACCAUUCAGAGAUCAAUUGUGUAUCAGCCACGAAACACAGACUGGGGGAACCUGAGUUUAGGUGACCUGAUGACCUGCAGUCAUGGAGCCCGAGUGGCAGAGCCAGGCCUCAAAUACAGGGCUGUCCAGAGCUGAGGCCCACCAGCCACCAGCCAGCAGGAAUUUCCUGCUCGGUGCUCUGGGUGGAAGGGCUCACCCCACUUCUGUGAUCACCUGGAAGAGGCCCCCAGUGAAAUUCUGACUUUCUCACAGGCAAGAGGAGUAUCUUAGUCAUCCUGGGGCCUCAGUUCCCAGCCCAGAACCGAGCGGCUCCUGUUUAGCCUUUCAGACCGAAAACACACGCUCACCCAAACAGACAGCAGUCGCCACAGGCCUUCCCACCCAUCCCCUCAAUCGAAAGAAAAGAGGGGGAGUCCACCUCCGUAUUUCCUCGGCACCAGUGGGGCCUGCAAGGAGGCUGGAGUCGGGUAGAGGACCCCCUUAGCCUGCCCACAGGCCAGCAGCCCCCUGUGGCAGCCCCCGGGCCACCACACACAGCCACUGUCCAGAGAUGACACUCUGCCCAUGGGGACCUGCAACUGAGCCUUUCCUCCAAGGCCACUGGCCGGCCAGGCCCCUGCACCCCUCGACUUCCUGGGAAGGCAUUCGCACCAGCAGAAACCUCUUUUUCCGAUUCUGAGCCCUGUAGCCACCUGACUAGCGGCUUCUGGGGAAGGUUCCUUCUCUUCAGGGUGGAAACAGAUGAUUCACCAGGUAUUAACGUGCCUGGCACACUGACACCACCGUUUCCCACGCCCUGUCCACAGGGGAGCCAGCAAGUCAGCACGGAAAGUCAAAGCACUUUCUGAGGGGCCCAGCUGGAGGCCACAGAGCUGGAAUUCACACACCAGGUCGGCAGGGCUCCGGAGGCCUGCACCCUGACACCUCGGAGGAAAGAAGGCGGCUUCCCUCAGCUGGGAGAGCAAGCCCCGCAGCCCCGGGGGCCCGGACCUGUGCCUCUCCACGGCUGCGCCUGGCCGGGCCGUCCCCGCUCUGGGCCCUCGCCUGCCCCCCGCAGUGCUGCCCAGAGGUGGGGCCUCUGAGGACGGCGCUUCCGUUCAUCUGCCAAGUGGAUCUGUGGGGUGUGCACAAUGGGGUCUCUGUGGGCCGAGCUCGGCUGGGUGCCAGGCCAGAGAGGCAGGCUUCCCAACAAGGAGGAUGGGGCACCAGGCCCAAGGGAGAAGAAAGGCCGGCACCCCAGCCUUGGGCCAUGGCUCAGGGCUGACAGGACCGCCAAAGCACCCAGGUUUGAGGGGUGGGACAGCAGGGUGCUGUCCCCUUGAAGUGCCUUACCCUGAGGCCAGGGAGCGAGCUGCAGCAGCUGAUGGCCCAAGGCACCUCCUUCCCGGCCGGCCCUGGCAGCACGGGGCGCGAGCCUCGGUCCUGGAGACCCCAGGCUGUCCCUACUCCCCAAGAAGAGACCGCUCCCAUUUUCCCCAGCACAACACUCCCCCCACCCUCCCAAAGCCCUCUGCAGAAGAACAGAGAUUUUGAGUACCCCCCAACAUAUGUGCACAC